GCUCAUUCACAGUCAGAAAUAGCUGUAUGGAACUGCCUGUCGGUAGGAUAUCCAGAGGAGCCUUGUUCUGUGACCAUUCUCCAGUAGAUUCAGAGCUGAGUGCUCGCAAGCUGCAGAACUUCUGCAGAACUUGAAAGAAAGUGAAGACCUCCACAGAAGUCUGCAAAACAGGAUGUGGUUGCCCCAAAAUGCAUGACUUCAGAGCGCAAGUCCAGGCUUCUACAUCCCAGUGGCACAUCAGGAAGAUCCCACGCAGUACUGUGAAGCAACGCAGCCUCUGUGUCCACUGGACAGUGGCCAGCACUUUGCUAUCACGGAAUGACAGAAUGGUUUGGUUUGGAAGGGCCCUUAAAGACCACCUCGUUCCAAGCCCCCCCCCCGUGGGCAGGGACACCAUCCACUACAAUAGGUUGACAAAAGCCCCAUCAUGUGACUGUCCUUCUGGCCAGUUUGAAACUGAAGACUUCCAGAAACCAAACCUCACAGCUUGACAAAUCAGAAUGGCUGAGAUAUGUCCUGGCAAUGUCUUCAGCCUUGACCAUCCCAAAAGAGAUGCCGCAAAUCAACUUCAGCACAAGCGUACAAAGACAUAUUAAUCGCAAUUACGCACCCUGCUCCCAAGGAAGAGAUUUGCUUUUGGAAGUCUUCAGCAUGCCACCUCAGAAGCAGCCAUCAGAUCGAAUACCUUU
ensembl:lncRNA